AGAUAACCGGUGUAUGCCAAGCACAACUCUUCUUGUACGGCACCGUCUAUCUAGUCGAGCGUUCAUGGUGCGAGCAUGUCAAAGAAGCUAGCCAUCAUGUGAAGUCCGACUCCUCAUCUGGGACACCCUGAAGCGCGUAUGCACCAGGCGAGAGAGCCGCAGACAUGAGAAAUAAAGUUUGAAACAUGU